AAAAAUUGGUAUCGCAACCGAGAUUGGGUUCAAAUGUAGGUUAUGUAAGAGGAAGAUAUUAACAUCGCUCACGUCCAUGGUACUCCAUGGGAACCAUUUAAGUUGUCUACAUGUGUUGUCUAUUUAUUUCUGCUUUAUUUUCAAAAGAGUGUGAAAGAAUGAGAUUUUGGUUUUUUAUUAUUAUGCUCGCCGAGGAUUGGGGCCACUACAACAAAAAUGAUUUUACGCAACAACGGAAAACCGCAGCCUAAAUAUAUAAAACCGUAGUC
rnacentral:lncRNA from 1 species